rnacentral:lncRNA from 1 species
UACCGGGAAACAGUUCAGUAGGCUAUUAAGCGUUGUUUACAGAUUGUUUGGGAGUAUGUGUGGGGAUAGCAUAUAGCACAUGUGUCAAACACAAGGCCCGCGGGCCAAAUGUGGCCCGCCACGUCUUUUUAUGUGGCCCGCGAGAGCUUGUAAGAUCUUAGUGUCUAUAAUAAAUAAGUCAGAAGCGUUCUUUGACCAAAAAAUACAUUUCCCACAAUGCUUGUCGAUUGUAUUACCCGCAAAGUUACGGCUUACUGCCACUACACGGCAGUGUAGUCAUUGAUGUGGAAACCCUGCCGGAGGGAAGGUGUAACUUCGCGGGUGGAAUUGAGACAUAUAAAUGUUUAUCCCAUAAUGUCCAGAAAAAGACAAGUUGAUGCAGACGGACGGCUGUGCUUCAAGGCGAAAGACCGGUAUGCCUUUUGUGUUACGAAGAGUGUUACUGUGUGUCCACUAAACUCCGUAGUUAUAAACAUCCUGAGGUUAGCAGCGCGCUAACUGACCUGUUUAUAAUGUAAUCCCAGCAGUGACUCAUGCUCUAAACGGCUGCUGUUAGCUGAUUGGCCUGAAAGAUGAACUGUAGAGAGCUGUAUUAUUCGGUUACAAAAAUCUUUAUUUCAUACACAGAAGAACUUUUUAAAAACGCUCCAGACUGGCUGAGCUGAGCCCUGUAGCCCGUGGCUGGGCUGUAGCUCUGACUCAGUAAAGACUGCGGACUUGUGGUGCUGCUGCUGCAGCUCUCACUAGUGGUUGGAUGAGGAACUGCUAAAUCUGAGGAAAUGCUAUGUUCUUAACAGCUCACAAUUUUUGAUUUUAUAUUUAAGCCUUAUUUCAGUUAAUAAUUUCAAAGUUAAUAUAACUUGAUGUCAUUUCUAUUCACUUGAAUAGUUUGGUUCUUGAUUGAUGGAGUUUUUGGAUUUCAUGACAUGACAAAUUAAAAGGAUUUAUGUUAAUAGAGCAACAAGCAAACAUUUUUUUCCAUGCAACUGUAAUAUUUGAUUGAAUAAAUAAUAUAUUGAGAGUUAUUUAACA